UUUUUUUUUUUUUUUUUUUUGGUAAACUUUAAAUGCCAUCCGGUGGUUUCGCACUUUUUUUAUUAUAAUACCUUAUAGUUUAAAGUGUAUCAAUUUAGUACUUUAUAAUUUUAUUUUUCUCUUUUUGUCGACUUCUCCGUUAACAUUUCGUUAAAUUAUAUAUAAAAAACUUUAGAUACUCUAUUUAGAUUUAUCGCAUAUUCACUUUAGUAACUUUUCGUUUUAAUUUUGUCACUGAUUUAAUAAAAAAAAAACUAGUGGAUGAGAUAAUAAAAAGAAAAAAAAAGGAACCAUAGGAUACUAAAUUGAUACAUUUUAAACCACAUGGUAUUAAAAUAAAAAAGUGCGAAACCAUAGGAGUGAUAUUUUGAAAUUUUAAAUUUUUUUUUUUUUUUUCCUCCC
rnacentral:lncRNA from 1 species